UAAUUACCAUAUUCAAGUAUUUCUCUCAGUUCACUGAAGUAUCUGGGCUAAAAGCUAAUCUCACCAAAAGUUCAGUUUACUUUGGAGGGGUUAGUUCUGAUGUCCAGCAACAAAUUACUGGUCACCUAGGUUAUGUGUAUGGAGAUUUGCCUUUCAAAUAUUUGGGAAUUCCUAUAUCCACCAAGAAGAUGGCGUUGAUUCAGUGGCAGCCUCUGGUAGAUAGGAUCACUGCUAGGAUCACCUUAUGGACUGCUAGAAAGUUAUCAUAUGCUGGGAGACUCCAAUUGGUACAAUCAGUGGUCCUUGGUAUACAAGCUUACUGGGCACAACUCUUCCUCAUACCUUCAAAAAUUCUAAAGCUUAUUGAAGCAGUCUGUAGAAGUUUUAUAUGGUCUGGAUCAGUAGGUAUUUCUAAGAAGGCCUACAUUGCCUGGGACAAAAUGUGUUUGCCGAAAUCAGCUGGUGGGCUGAACCUCACAAACCUCAUGCUGUGGAAUAAGGCAGCUAUUGAUAAACUGUGCUGGGAUCUAGCUCACAAGAAAGACACUGUGUGGGUUAGAUGACUGAACCUCACAAACCUCCUGCUGUGGAAUAAGGCAGCUAUUGCUAAACUAUGCUGGGACCUGGCUCACAAGAAAGACACUCUGUGGGUCAGAUGGAUUCACACUGUUUAUAUAAAGCAUCACCAACUGGAGAACAUUCCUAUACCCAAGCAAGCUAGUUGGAUGGUCCGAAAGAUAAUUGCANN
rnacentral:lncRNA from 1 species